GACAGAGGGGGCAAGCGUUGCUCGGAAUCACUGGGCGUAAAGGGCGCGUAGGCGGGGUGGCAAGUCGGUCGUGAAAUCCUUCGGCUCAACCGAAGAACGUCGGCCGAUACUGCCGUUCUUGAGGGAUGCAGAGGAGAUUGGAAUUCCCGGUGUAGCGGUGAAAUGUGUAGAGAUCGGGAGGAACACCGGUGGCGAAGGCGGGUCUCUGGGCAUCUCCUGACGCUGAGGCGCGAAAGCGUGGGGAGCAAACGGG
rnacentral:rRNA from 1 species